UUGAACACCAUCACAUUUAUUUCUGGUUUGUUUCAGUAUGUAUUUUGCGUUCAAAAAAUGAAAGAAAUGUGCAUAUGUUUGUUUGUUUGCUGGCAGAGGAUACAUUUUUAGUUAGUUAUUCCAGCCACUAGGUGGCGGUGUCACACGCCAAGAGUUGCGCGGUGCCUCUUGGUCGCUCUCUUUUUCCUUUCGGGCCGAUCAGGGAAACAGCAUGGUGGAGAAUCCUGAGUACAUUGUGUGAAAUAAAAGGACAUCAGAGUGACAAGUGUAUGACGUUGUGCGCUCCCUGGUGAAGCCCGUUUUUCAGAGUCUGCAUUCUGGGAAAUGCCUUUCUGCCAAAUUGAAAAUACUGCCAAUGUUACAGAAAUAAACUAACCCCGAAGAAGUUAUUGUGUCCUGUGUGGGUCUUAGUUCAGCAGGCUACAUCAGCCAAGAGAAUGAGAAAUAAUGAAAAGAGGUCAAAUACACAAGGAAGAAGCAAAAAACAGCAUCAGCACGGACACAGAAGAGAAAAUCAAGCAAUUCUUGGAAAGAGAUGAAAACAGCAGAGCAACAAGACAAAACAAAAGUGAUUCCUUAAUGAACUCAUGGAAAUACUUCAUGAGAAAUUUAAGAAGGAGUAUCCUGGCAUACAGAUUUCUUACAGUGAUUUCUGCAAGAAACGUCCUUUUUGAAUUAUAGAUCCCACAAUUAAGGACAGAGACACAUGCAUAUGCAAGACGCAUGCCAAUAUGCAGUUAAUGGCAGACAAACUGCUGCAGCACAAAGUGAUCAACAGCACUAAAAUUGAACAUUUGGUUGUCUCUCUGUGCUGCUCACCAUACAUCAAGGAGUAUAUGUACAGAGAAUGUCCCAACUGUGUGGACAAAGAAUUGCAGAUCUCGGCCUUUGACCCUGGGGCCCAGAGAUAUUGGCACGCAAGGCAAAAGCUGUGGAGAGAGAGAAGAUAAAGAAAGAUGGAACUAAAGAGAAAAUCACAGUUCAUCUCACUGUUAAGGAGAAAAUAGAGGGCACACUGCAUACUUGACUAGAAGACUUUUCAACAGAUCUAAGACAAAAACUUGGAAAGCAUGUGUAUAACAUCAGGGUAUCAGUAUGCAGCUCUCCGUGGCCUAAAGGAAAACUUGAGAGAGAACAAAGUCAUUCUGCAUAUUGAUUUUGCAGAGAACUUCCAGUGCAAGUACAACAGUGAAGUCCAGGUGGUACAUUUUGGAGAUUCCCAUCACCAGGUCUCACUCCAUACUGGUGUGGCCUACACCUGGAAGGAUGUAAAGUCAUUAUGCUCAAUCAGCUCUUCUUUUCGGCACGAUCCCUCAGCGAUAUGGGCACAUCUAACCCAAGCGCUAACUUACUUGAGAGAGCAACAUCCCGCUGCCACCAUACUUCAUGUGGUCAGUGACGGACCAACGACGCAAUACCGCUCAAAAAAACUUCUUCCUCCUCACCAAUGUUCCUUACCAAAUGGAUUGGAAAAGGGUGACCUGGAAUUUCUUAGAGGCUGGCCACGGCAAAGGCCCAGCUGAUGGGAUUGGAGCGGUGGUGAAGAGAGGAUGAUCUUAUUGCAAGAGGGAGGGACAUUCCAGACGCACGAGUACUGCUUGAGGAGCUUAAGCAGAAAAAGUCUGCCACCGAGCUUUUCUAUAUUGAGCUGUUGAGGCAAUGGAUGUUCACGUUCCAUCUGAAUUACAGACAAUUCGUGGCAUGAUGAAAAUUCAUCAGGUAUGGUCUCGCUGUUGCUUCUUUAUACAUUUUUUGGUCUUGCUGUUGUUUCUUAACACAAGUUAUGACUAAUUGAAUGCUCUGACAGCCUUGAAGAUGACCUCUCAUUCUCCAAGCCAGAUGUCAUGGAGGAUUCUUAGUUGUUUUUGCUCUGCACCCAACGAUUGCAACAGUUUCACACCAGAAACAGUCAGGUUUCAGCCAUGGGAUGAAGCUACCCCCACAACCAAGUACACUUCCUGUCACAUCCCAAGAUGGAGGUCUGCAACCAAUUUUGGACUUGCAUGAGGGUCUCAUCGAUCAGUGGUGUGCAGUGGUGUAUGAUGGAGAUGUGUACCCAGGUAUUAUUCAGGAUGUUGAGUUAUACAGUGUUGCUCAAGUGAAAACAAUGACCCGUAUUGGGAUGAAUCGCUUUUAUUGGCCACUGAGAGAUGAUGUCAUCUGGUACCAACCCAUGGAUAUAAUAGGCCUCAUCCCCUGAGCCCGUACCAGUGACAAAACGGCACAAGGAGAUUAAGACGGAAGUUUGGAAAGAAAUCUGCAAGAUUUGGCCUUGAAUCACAUUGCCACCCUCUCUCUCUCUCUCUCUCUCUCUCUCUCUC